ensembl:lncRNA
AUAUAUAUAUAAUAAUAUUUUCUACCCCAUUAAUGGAGAAAAACGGGUUCAUUACAACAGAGAUGGACUGUCUCGUAGUUUUUAAAUUUAACUUUUAUGAACACAAAUACAAAAACACGCAUACAACACAUUCUGACCUGCAACAAGUCUGAAUGCAAAUGUAUUAACUCCCUGCAUGUGAUGUAUGUAUGUAUGCACAUUUCAGGAUUCAUUAUUAUGUACGUAACAAAUUAGGCUUCAUGAUUUACUAUAUUGUUGUAUACAAUAAAGCAGUUGUGCUAAACAAAUGAAACAGUGUGAAACCAAAGGAUGAACCAAAGGGAAUUCCUACUAAGAGCCCUAAGUGUUGUUAUGAUUACUGUGUGGACAAAGAGAGCAGGGCGAGUGAAUGUGACUGAGGUGUGUGUGUGUGUGUGUGUGUGUGUGAUAUUAAAGCAGGCUUUCGAUAUCUCAAGCUGUCACUCAGGCCGAUUAGGCAAGGCUAACAAAAUUAGUCAUGAAUAUGCAGUAAUAACAUGCAAAUUGCCACUCCUUCCCCCUGCCCCGUGUGUGAGAGUGUGUGUGUGUGUUGUGUGUUUGUGUGAGCUGCUGUGUGUGUGUUGCCCUCAGGGCCACAGACAUUGGCUCCUGUAAACCCAAUUCUUUCUACAUCAUUACAGCAACAAGACAUAAUUCAUAAGAAUAAUAUAAACAUGCAUGUAGCCUGGCAUACACAGACAAGCGCGCACACACACACACACACACACACACACACACACACACACAUAAAUGCACGUAGGCGCUCACACUCACACAGGAUACAGGUACCCUACGCUGGCCAGGGCCAAUAUACAGCAGCGUUAUGUUGCCGGUUUUAAGAGCUCCAGUGCCAUAUUGUGUGCUUAAACACACACAGUCGUGCAUGCGCGUACACAAACACAAAGACGGUAAGUUGCCUCCCCGUCCCCAGGGGGAUGUUUGACACAGCCGGGGUGCUCCACAGCAUUUAACCUCCCUGUUAAUGAGCAGAGCGCUGUCAGGCAGCCAGCUGGCACCGCCUGGCACGUUGCCCACACACACACACACACACACACACACACACACACACACACGGUUACAUGGACGUACAGUGCGUUCACAAGCACACGCACACACACUCCUGUCUCGCCCCAGCUAUACAACUAACUGUUGCUGCCUCCUGGUGCCCCUUAAUCCCUCCCUCUUUACCUCCCUCCUGCAUUGCCCUACCUCCCCCUCUCUCCCCUCUCCCCUCCCUGCCUCCCUCCCUCGGUCUGUGGCAGCUGCUUAUCCAUGCAGCACUGCAGAUGUCACAAUUCACCAGCUGGGAAACCAGCAGGGGAGGAGAAGGUUUGAGAGGAGAGGAGGGGGGGGGGGCGCGGGGCGUUCGUCGUAGCCUCGGAUUUGACAGAGAAGACACCAACUGGAGGAAGACUUACUAAUUUACUAAUUGAUUCGCUAAUCGAUUUGGGAAUUUGCGGUGUUCAGUUUAGCAUCCUCUGAUACUACGUUACAGGAAUGUGAGAAGUAGCACACAGUCAGUCGUAUCAUUAUUCAUUUGACAUAUAACUCCAUUGAUGAGCGUGUGCCAUUAGGUAGAUCCGAGUGUUAAUGAGCGCGGCAAUUGGCCCGAGCACGGCCCGCUACGUACGGCUGUCUGCAUGUCCACGCGGCAGCCCACCACGCCUGCGUAUUGAUCAGUUAGCUUGGCCUAAUAGGAGAAGAGGAGCCUGACCUGGGAAAGUCAAUAUGGAGAAAAAGAGACAUAUCCUCCACACGUCCUGAGAGAAAAGUGGGAAAGAAAGAGAGAGAGAGGGAGGGAGAGAAAGAGAGAGAGAGAGGGGGGGGUGGGAAACACAUAGAAAGUGAUGUGCAUCCACUACUGUAAUGGUAGGAAAGAGUCUGGAGACUGUCAGACAAACAGCUGGACAAAAGAAAAACAAGCAAAGCCAUGAGGAAAAAAAAUAACUUGACAAUAAUGAACUGCACAGUUUAAAUACCGUAUAACUUUCAAUAACAAAGAAAAGUUUGGAGUUGAAUUAGAACAGUUACGCUGAGGGAUACUGUCGGAGUUAAGCUCCCAAAUGAGAAUCAGGAUAUUCUGUCAAAGCUUUAUUUAAUUUUUUUUUUUCAACCUAACUAACUUGGAGCAUUUGACUGCUUUUGGCAAAAGAAAACAGCACUCAAGUUAACUCUAGAGUAAAAACUCUGCAGGAGAUUAUACGGAGGGAAAAUAAUUAAAAAAUUGGAGGGAGAUGGGAAUAAAAAAAAAAACUGACACCCACGCACACAUCAAUACAUUGAUAGAUCAAUGUGUGUGUGCGCGUGUCUCGGUACACCAUUUCAGUUGAAAUAUAUAAAUAAAGCUGUAGAUAAACAAAAAAACUGAGCAAAUGGGAAAGUAGAUAAAAGACUUGGGUUUCACCAUGUACACGCACACAUGUACAUGCACACGCACACGCAGACACCUGGCUGAGUGAUGCUACCCUGGGGGGUGGCUUCAAUCUGAUGUGUUUAAUGUUGACGCUGGUGGCAAGAAACACACACACACACACACACACACACUCACCCACUGUUUCAACCUGCCUGUCAUCUCAUUUCAUGAGACCUGAUUUACUCAUUUCAUUUUUUCCAUUUUUCUUGUUAUAUGUGCAGCCAUUUAAAACGCUCAAGGUGUGAUGCAAAUCCCCGCGCCUCUGACAGCAAGCGCGCUGGAUGAGGAUCCAUCAUGGCCCCUCAGUGCCUUUUCGCAGGAACGGCAAAGAAACCCUGUGCAGCCACAAACUCAUGUGUGCCCCCGUUGUGCCACGCCACCUUUUCCUGCUUUGCUUGGUGCUUUAAUUGGCUGCACUGCAGGCUGUCAAACUACUGUCAGGUUACUUUCUACCGUAUUUGGAAGUGUACUUAGUUUUCAUAUGACAGCUUUUUGAAAAAAAAAUUAAAGAAAUGGACGGCAAUUUCAUUAUGUUUCACAUCAUUUUGUGAAAUCACACUAAACAUUACAAGGGGGGACUUUAGGGAUAUGGCAUUUGUUCUCUUGUCCUGACAGCGUAUAUUCACGUUAGUGUAUGUUAGGAAGUAGUAUCGAAACCUUCAAUUUACAUUGAACUUAAUGUUUUAUUUGCAGGCUGGUUUUGACUGACAAGAACAGGGUGAGCGUGAUUUGACACUGUGCGACUUAAGCUUCAGCAAACAACGGUCUGGUGAGUCCACGUGUCCAGCAUGCAAAGUCUAGAAAAGGUACAAAUGUAUGAGCAGGCCGAUUCACAUUCAGAAAAUGCUUCUUGCAUUAGUGUUGUCACAACGUGGGAAACUUAAAAUAGGAAUCUGUCUUUUUCCAGAGAGGUCUAAAGUAGAAACAGAGCGAGUAUUCAGGCGCCUCGGAGCACUGCAUGGUGGGAUAUGUCAUAUAGGAAUUUACAUAUUGCCAUGGGGACAGUUGUGUUUGAGUAACUCCCCGAGGAUCCCAAACUCCCUCCAGAGAGACAGACCCCCCCGAGGCCAACACGGUUACCUCUCUCUGCAGCAGAGGACCCGUGUGGUCGAUUCAUGAAGUUAUUAUGAAGAAGCUGUUAGUUAUCUAAGUUAUUAAACUUUUCCGAAGGUAAUAAUUGCUUGUUGAUGAGAGAAGCAGCUCAGGAACUAAACAUCUAAAUAAAGAGUGACGUGCUGACUAUGUCUAUCUAUCUGUACCUUUGUGGGACGGGAGACGCAGGUCCAACCAGCUCAUCCAGGGAACAAGGUCCUCGGAUCAAAGUCAGACACCGCGGCGAGACAUGACACGGGAAAUUUACUCACACACACACACACACGUGUAUUUUUAAAAACGUUAUGACAAUGUGAUGCUUACCGGAUUGCUGGAAUUUGCCUCUUGACAACCAGACACUUUGGUAACAAAAAAACGACAAGAGACUAAAAAAAUAAUAACAGCACGCAACUGGAUGAACAAUUGAUGAAAGAAAAAAAAAAAGGAAGAAACUUUCUGCUUUGCUCAUUUUCAAAACGGGGCCAACGGCAUACAAAUCACCAAAAUCAAAUCAAAAAGCUGACAAGAUCAAAUAUAGAGGAAAGGAAUCGAAGAUGAAAUCUGAAAUACGAUUACUCUAAUGACUUAAUAAUUUGGCCGUCCUCUUGGGGAAUUUAAAAAAAAAAUACGUUUGACGCAAUAGAAGCACAGGAUGUCACUUGAUCUGAAAGAAGGACAUUGAGCUGAAGCAACAGAACACAGUUUGGCUUAGUUAGCUAAAAGUGCACACGCGGACACAAACACACACACAGCGCUCUGUUCCUUCCCAGAUACAGUACGACUCCUUGCACUCGGAUAACCCCCAUCACAUUGCCUGUACCUCUCUGUAGUGUGUGUGUGUGUGUGUGUGUGUGUGUGUGUGAACCACUUGGGUCACAAAUAUAGUUGUUGGGGUCAGUUGUGCAAAGAGAUGAAUGGAGGACAAAAAGAGGGCUAAAAAGUUACGAGGACCCGGCUUUUUAAUUGCGUGGGACUGUUGAGAAAUGGAACUAAACAGACAGGGACAAAAGGGGGGAGGGGCUGGAUACGGACAGGGAGAUGAGGAGGGAAAGUGGGACGCGGGUUCAGGUAGAGAUCACGAGUCGGACUUUCGGAAAGGAGAAAGGCGGCUUUGCGAGAAAGCGGCGAGCGACCCGGCUGCACCGGUGAAAUAUCGGCCACUCUAUCGCUGUGGUGACACGGGUCAUUCUGGGAAAAGGAAAUCAAUGCUGACAGCAAUGACUCACAGGUCAGCAUAUGUGCAUGUGUGCAAGCGCGUGUGCGUGUCUGCUUUAAGUAUGGGCUUUGUUUCAAUUAUGCAUGUGCUACUGUUCGCUACAGGUAUGUGCUCAUCCGCGUGUUUACGUGAAUGCAGGAUGUGGGGCAAGUGAGCGAAUUACACACGAGAACAAGCAACAGCAUCAAAAGAAGAGUACGUGGGGCGGACAUAAAGAUUAAGUCCAUUAUGAGUGUUAAUAGUUAAUAAUUAAAAGUUAAUAGUUUAUGCAUAAUAAUAAAGGCCAACAGACUACAUACGACUAGUUGUUUUUUCUGAUAAAAUAUAAUAAGAUACUAUAACGCCUUUAAAAUCUAACAGCGUAUAAAAAUGUGUAGUAUGUCCUCUCGUUGCAAAGCGGGUCUGUUUCUCCCCCCCCGAACAUAACAACGCACAAAAGACACGUCACAAUUUUCUCCAACACUCACCAAACAUCAGAUCCUAAUUCAGCUGCAAUGUGACAGUGAGACGACCUGGCACUCGGCGGCUGAUACAGGUAGACCGUGUGUGGCUCGGCCGGUGAACGUGUGUGUAACUGUGUGUGUGUGUGUGUGUACGCAUGCCUCACACACCCUUGGGUUAGCAGGAGUUACGACCUGCUUACAUUAUUAAGGUGAGUAGUAGGCUGCGUUGUGUAUGCCUAAACAGCCAGUCCAUUCAUUACAGAUGCAAUCCCCUAAGUACAUGAAUAGGGACGUGGGUUCUCUGGCCCCCCCCCCCCCCCCCCACCCGCCCGCCGCUCUCUGAACUGUAGAGGAGACAAAAUACUGGUGUGAUGCAAGGCGCUUUAGAUAAAUCAGAUGCGGGAGCAAAUUAAUAAUAAAGGAAUAAAACAACAUUAGCUGAUUAAGUAUGUAUGGCAGAGUGGCGGGUGUAAUUUAAAAGGCAGCCGGGGUUGAGUGUCCGGAAUAAGGUCUCAUUAUGGAUCCCGGUGUGUGUGUGUGCGCGCGUGUGUGUGUGUGUGUGUGUCCACCCUGUUGGUAAUCCGUCACCAGUGGCCUCAGCUUUAUGAAAAGGCCUGCAAUCUACGAUAAUGAGCACAGUGAAGGUUAUGACCACGGUGCUCUCAUUUGUUAGACGGAGGGCUUACACACGACUGUCCGUUUGGGAUUCAAUGCUUUCUUUUGAUUAGCUGCAUUUUAAAUGAAAUAAAACAAUACCAACAACGACUGGCGAGGACAUGUGCUCUUAAAGUGGCGUUGAGAAUACAGCAGAGUGCAUGAGAGAGAGGAAGCGAGCGCAUUAUGCAGAUGUUGCAUCACAUCUUAGUUCCAGCAAAGUUUUCUCACCAUGUUUGGAGACGAGACAAGCAGUACAGAGCCUUUCACACAAAAAAGGACAUAUACAACUAUAUUAUAAUAUAAAAAAGUGCAAAAGGCCACUGUACUUCGACUGUGAGAAAGAAAGGAACUAAACUCAUCGAAGCAACUCGAUCACUUCACUUGGUCUCCUCCAACGCAUCCUAUGCGUUCCUACGUCUCCUUUCCCCUCAGCUUUAUUUAUCCCCCCAUGUUUAUUUUCCAUCCAAAAAUAGCCGGCCAUUUACGCCGUCAUGCCAUUUUCCCACUCCCCUUCCAUUCCUUUUGUCUGGAGCUAGGUCAACCGAAAGCAACCGAGGAGGAAAAAAAAACAAAAAGCAGCGCUGCGUGUGUGCGUGUGAGUCACCAGAUCACAACCGAGAGCGAGGAAUGAAAAACAUCAGACAAAGCGACUCUCGGCGAUGACGAACCGCAAGGAACAACGGCAGAGUCUCGUCCUAGUAUGUCACGGGCUGCAUGUUUAGAGUGAGCGUACUAGAAAUGUGGACUUAAAUCUUUGUAGAGUGAUGCAACCAUGACGAUAAACAACAAACAAACAUCCGCAGCCUUGUAUUUAGGGGCUUUUUCUUGUUAGAAUGAUAUUGUAUAGUAUGCACACACAUACACACAAGUUUGGUUUGGCAUUCUGACCGUUUCUUACAACAUCUUCUAAAAAUAAUUGUCCAAUCUGGGAGUCUGCAUAUUUAAAAACAGAAAUGCAAGACUUGAUUAAAGUGGCCACAAAUACCAACAGCUCAUUUAAACCUUCUACCCUUUCCCAACAAAUGCAGCACGUACAUUCAGGUCUGUUAAACCGUUGAUAAAACCAGAAUCAAAUAGGCAAUAGACGGUUAUGUGGGUUACUUCUUACUUACAUUUCUUAUUGUCUCUGUCACACUAUAGUGUGGGACUACGCUCUGGUGCCUUUGAGGGGCUCAAGAGUACGGUUUCUUUUAAUAGCCAACUCUAUAGGUUAAAGGUUUAUUUUGACCAUACCAGAAUUGGUGAUUGUUGUUACAGUAGUAAAACUAACAGCUGAGUUUGAAGAAAAUAAAUUGUGACGACCAGGCAGGUCAAAUGAUGUCUGUUGUCGUGGCUUUGAUGAACAUAUAUUGAUUGCAUGUUGUGCAUGGCAAUAAAUUGUAAUAAUUAUACAAAUCCACGUUGGCUUCAUUAAAAAAAUAUAUAUUCCCCCUCGGCAUCUAAUGCGCCGGCAUUAUAAAAGGGAAAACGUCCACCGCGGUGUCAUGUUCACGCCGAUGAAGAUCAUAGCCGGAGCCAAUAAAUACCUGUGACUACGGCGGAAAUUGAUCCUUCCUGGAAUUCCUCCAAAUUGUACCCUUUCCUACUUCAUCCACCCACAGUGACAGAUGUCUGCCUGGUUUAUAGACGAGACAAACCAUUUGCCAAAUAAACUUCCCUUUUUUUUAACGUACCCUCUGUCCUUUGGAAGAAGCAGCGCUGUGUCAGUGUGCAGGUUCAGGUUCUGCUCCAGACAUGCUAACGGGUUAGCAUGUCUGGAGCAGGACUGCUAAUAGCUUGAAGGGAUUUUUACUACAUACUAUUUUUGCAGUUUAUCGAUGCGUCAUACAGGUUUUCUAAAAUGACAGAAAACUCAAACGACGGUUCUGUAGUGCCCACGGGGACGUUUUCAAUUUGAGCAACCAAAAGUCCAUAUCCGAUAUUUAAAUUACAUUAGAAAACCAACAGGAGAAUACCAAAGACUUGACAUUUGAACCGGGAACUCACGCUUUUUUUAAUGUUAUACGUGAUUAAAUGAUUAGUGUGCUAAUAACAUUGCCAGAUCAGUUUCCAGCUGCUCGGAAACUGAAUUGACUAAUUGUUCCAUUACCAAAUUUACUGAAUUUUGUGGGGGGUGGGUGGUGGGGGGGGGGAGACACAUCUAUGUUGAGUUUUGUCCGCCGAUUUCGAAAACAACAUUUGUGUAGUUUCCCAAAACCGAAGCGAAAUCAAAUAAUAAGCGUACAGGAUUUCGCAGCCAUCCGGGGUAUCAGAUGGACCGGUUACAGCUCGGGCUGAUAUAUUAACAAAGGUUUACAAGGGCAGAGCGCGACAUGCAAGUUUGGCCUUAUGGCUGACCUUACAAUGCACUUAGUAUCCUGUACAGGGAGUAAUGCUGCAGCCACUCCUACAAGCCAUUUAUUGCAGCUAACGACCGUCAAGCCCUCAUAAAUCAGCAUUAGGAACCUCUUUUGCCCUCUCUCUCUCUCUCUCUCUCGCGUUUAGUCUCCCCCCUCUGUGGCUGCCUCCUUUUCUGGCAGAUUUCUCUCAUACGCCUUCUUGUCCUCACCCUUGUCCACUCAUUUUUACAUUUUACCCGUUUUUUUUAAAGCUGCGACUCCCGCGUGGUCCCACUUCUUUGUCCGUUUGUCCGUAUCCAUCCGUCUCCGCCUUAUUUGGUUUGUCAGGCUCUCCUUUCAAAUAACUGCUUCCUCUUUUCUCUGCCCGUCCGUCUUGUCCUACUCCCGCGUUCUCACCUUUUCCCGGCCUUCCUGUUUUUUACGCCCUACUCCUCUUACCCCCCCCCUGCCAGCCGUCCUCUCUCACCACCUCUUUCGGGAUAAAUUCCUCUCCCUGCAGAUAGAGACGGCAUCCCUGAGCUGUCUAACCCGGUAUUGGCACCUCUAUUGAUUUUAAUUAAGCUAAUUAGUUCAUCAUUUGAAGGCUCAAACAGGGGGGGGGAUCCAUUAUUGCAUAGAGGGAGGCUGGCGGGUUAGGGUGGGAGUGGGGGGCACCGGUAAGGGUGGGGGUUAGAGAAGUUAAUAUGGUAAUGAAGACGAUCAAUUAUCACUCACGGCAAAGUCAUUAACAACAGCAUUAGCAUAGUCAACCAUCGUCACCCCCUGACCUCCCCUGCUCCCUCUCUCCCUCCCUCCCUCCCAGCUGCUACACAAGCAGAUGUGGAUGUGCGCGAUAGAGGGGGGGGGGGGUUGAUGAAGGUCACACAGUUCAGAGACUUGUUUUUUUAUGCAGACCUGAAUUGAGUUUCCACCUCGUCUCAUCGACUGGAGCGGAGCGCUCCCCGGGCUCGGGCCGGUUUGGAGCAACUCGUUUUUUCCUUCUUCACGCUUCUUGCGCUCAAGGCAUGAACAAGGCGGCCAGCCGAAUUCUGUUCUUCUUCAGUUAUCAAUGACAUUAGGAUCUUCCUGAGGGGGGAAAAACAAGGGUAUAAAUGCAUUGGUGACUUGUUCCUUUAAUGUGCCGUUUGGUUGAAAUGGGUGUGAAGGGCGCUGCUACAGACGGGUGCUCCACUCGACAGGAAGGAGGAGGUUCUCACGAGCAGGGAUUAAGUCAUCAGACCAAUUUUAUCAUCUGGUUCCUGAGCAUUCUAAUAGCCCCUGUUCUGUGGUUUAUGGGGGUCAUAAAUAGUCACUUAGUUCACCAAAAAACUGGAGAGACUCUCGUCACAGCUGGAGACAUUCCCAGCAUUCAGUAAGGCAACGUUGUUGUCGUCGCUUGUUAUGACCCAUUUGUUUAAUAAGACGAAACAAAUUGGGCUUCUUGAGGAAUGAGGAUCGCUCACAAACAAGGAAAGCUCACUAAAUGGAAUACCUUCACGCGGGCGUUUUAAAUAUGCCGGUAUGGUAACAAUUUGAGGACGGUGUGGGAAUGGUGAGAUGACGAGCGGGCGAGUGAUCCUAAAUGAUCCCUACUGAUCUGUUCUGAUCUACUCUGAUCCCUCACAGUCCCCCCCCACCACCGUACUGCCCUGGAGCUAAACUCUGCGAAUUAAAAAAAAAUCUACCCAACAGGCAAACAUGCACUGAUAGAUUUAGAAAAAAAUAUGGAAAAAAGGACUACAAACCAAUGUACCGUCUUACCGCUGUUAUAAAAUAUGACCACAUGCAACAACAUAUUAACUCUGAGCAUGGAUGAUUUCCUAAUAUGAGUCUUAUAAAAAGGCAAGUGGCCUUUCUGAGACCACCAUCUGGCCAACAAGAGUUGCUCCAGAAGUUGUUCUGUAACUGCCCGCGCGCCCCUGACCUGCCUUGAAUGACGUACGGGGGAAAAAAUAUUACUACCGAGAUCAAUAAAGUGACAAUUUUAUUGCAUUACAUGAUUACUUAUCCUUAAGGUGCCCAAAAGCUGUCCAACACGGGGGAAUAAACCAGAUGACUGGAAGGAAAUGACUAUGAGGAAGGUCCCCAGAACUUUCCAAAAUCUUUGGGCUCACACAAUGCUUUUUAUUUUCAACAGAAUUAAAGUUCAGCAUUUUCCAUGUUUUUUUUUUUUUCUUCCCCCCCCCCCCCCACAGUUUAGAGGGCUACCUAAUAAAAAGUUAUUAUUCUCAGAGUCCUGCUGCAACUGGGAAAAACACAGAUGUGUCCAUAGUGAGCCGUGUCAAUGAAAACUACACUUCAGGAUGGAAGGAAGCUCACAGAAAUCACUCUGGAUGUAGUUUUCACCCACAACACUGAUGGGCUUGAUCGAGUCAGUAGCGUCACAUCCAAAGAGGAGAGAUUGAAUGUAUUUUAAGGUGAUUCUGCAAUGACCUCCGAACUGAUCUGAAGCUACGGGUACGGGCGAUACUGCCCCGUAACCACGGGUUAAAAUAGAUAUUUAGACCUAUUGAGAAAGUACCCGUUAAUUCAGGUUUAUACUGAAUGCAGCUACAUCCGUCCGCCGAUGGAUGACAAACGAACAACAGGCAAAUCGCCGGAGUCUAGAAAAGAAAACGCAAGCCUUCGAUUUCAUGACAUUAUGACCACGAAACAAACUCUGUUUAGUGUCCAUUACAGUUCGACCCUAUUGUGCAUCAACAAGACCAUACACUACGAUUCAAUCAGACGUUAGCCAAGCUCCUAUUACGGAGCUCAUUGCAUCGUUUACAUGGUGGAACGGUCCAUAAGUAGCUCUAAAUGCUCUUCAUUUGAUUGGAUUUCACAUUAUGGACAUCAGAGCAGAAACACACUGUUGUCCCCCGGCUGUCCUAAUAGACUGUUGAGUGAAACAGUCCAUUCGUUUGUAUUUGUUUACCAAUCUAGACCCCGCAAACACACACAGUAACAGACAGUGAGAGCAUCGUUUAAGACGGGUGAAAAUGGAGAUUCUAAAAAGCGAGGAAGACGGAUGGACAGCUCGGACACACGGUGUCUCCUUGACGGUCAAGUGAGGCUGCAGCCGUCACAAACAAUAACAAAACGGUGCAAUUAAAUGAACCAAAGGACUCGUUUACAUCGUUUUUCCUUUAACUAUUCCUUCUUUAACGGUAUUUCUUUAGCAUCCGCAAGAGCGCUUAAUAAACGAUCCUCCAAUUCAAAUUGCUGAUAAUAACAUGUGAGAACUGAUCAAGGCCAUCGCCAUUGUUCAGUACACAUGUCUUUUUGCACUGCAGCUUGCAACAACAACAAAGAAUAGAUAUUAGUGAAUGUAAAGGCACUUGAGCCGUGCGUAUGGAGGAGGAACCGCGGAGAUUGUGUUAUUUAAUGUUGUGUUGCUAAAAGAAUGUCGUGCGGUUUCAAAAGUUAAAAAUGGAAGAAAAAAAAAAAACUAAGAAAUGCAAAGCAUUGUAUUUCAAUGAUCUUCCUGACCGGCGCAGAGAGCGCACAAAGGCACAUCCCUCUGACCUUCUCCGUAAUAGCAGAUAAGUACUUUGAUGGGUAAAAGGCCAUAAUUUACUUUUCAGUGUUCAAACUCCACUCAGAAGAGCCAAUAUUGAUGGAGACCCGGCCAGAACUGAAAUGGAACAAUACCUUAAAGUCACCACACCAAGCGGUGAUGAUGAAAGGAGCAUUUUUGCACACAGAUUUCUGUCUCAGUAAAGAAUUUCUGCUAGUAAAAAAAGAAAAAGAAAAAGAAAAACUGUUGUCCAUCCUUGUCCCAGUUGCUCUUCUACGUUAUUAUUCUAUGCUUAUCCUUCUUUGUAUUAAAAAAAAUGAGGGAUUUUCAUGUACUCAACUCUUAAGCACAUGAAAACUUUGAGAUGUGUGAACAAAGAAAAGGAAAAGACGUCUCUUUUUUUAUUCAUCGUUUUCUCUCGGUUGUACAAAUCCAUCCGUUUUAAUGCCCGCUUGAUGUUUUCAUAUAGAUUUGGGUUUAUGAGCAGACGUGUCAUCCUAUUGACAUAUGCUUUUCUAUCCCUCCAUAAUCCAAAACGCCCUAACUUCGCCUGUGU